AGUGAACGCUGGCGGUAGGCCUAACACAUGCAAGUCGAACGGCAGCACAGUAAGAGCUUGCUCUUACGGGUGGCGAGUGGCGGACGGGUGAGGAAUACAUCGGAAUCUACUUUUUCGUGGGGGAUAACGUAGGGAAACUUACGCUAAUACCGCAUACGACCUACGGGUGAAAGCAGGGGAUCUUCGGACCUUGCGCGAUUGAAUGAGCCGAUGUCGGAUUAGCUAGUUGGCGGGGUAAAGGCCCACCAAGGCGACGAUCCGUAGCUGGUCUGAGAGGAUGAUCAGCCACACUGGAACGGAGACACGGUCCAGACUCCUACGGGAGGCAGCAGUGGGGAAUAUUGGACAAUGGGCGCAAGCCUGAUCCAGCCAUACCGCGUGGGUGAAGAAGGCCUUCGGUUUGUAAAGCCCUUUUGUUGGGAAAGAAAAGCAGCAGGUUAAUACCCCGCUGUUCUGACGGUACCCAAAGAAUAAGCACCGGCUAACUUCGUG
rnacentral:rRNA from 1 species